rnacentral:ribozyme from 14 species
AAAUCUCAAUGCAGAAAAUAAAAGUAAGAGUUCAUAAAUAGAAACAAUAUAAAUAUAUGUGUACAUAUUUCAUUGUGAACAAAUCUUUUCUGUUUAUACUCAUUGUAGUUGUUGAUGUUGCACUGUGCGUUGCACCUUAUGUUGCAUCUUUAAAGUC